rnacentral:rRNA from 1 species
AUUGAACGCUGGCGGCAGGCUUAACACAUGCAAGUCGAGCGGGGUGAUGGUGCUUGCACUAUCACUUAGCGGCGGACGGGUGAGGAAUGCUUAGGAAUCUGCCUAUUAGUGGGGGCCAACAUCUCCAAAGGGCUGCUAAUACCGCAUACGUCCUACGGGAGAAAGCAGGGGAACGCUUGUGAGCUUGCGCUAAUACAUGCGCCUAAGUCGGAUUAGCUCGGUGGUGGGGUAAAGGCCUACCAAGGCGACGAUCUGUAGCGGGUCUGAGAGGAUGAUCCGCCACACUGGGACUGAGACACGGCCCAGAGUCCUACGGGAGGGAGCAGUGGGGAAGAUUGAACAAGGGGGGGAACCCUGAUCCAGCCAUGCCGCGUGUGUGAAGAAGGCCUUAUGGUUGUAGAGCGCUUUAAGCGAGGAGGAGGCUCUUUUGGUUAAUACCCAAGAUGAGUGGACGUUACUCUCAGAAUAAGCACCGGCUAACUCUGUGCCAGCCGCCGCAGUAA